rnacentral:rRNA from 1 species
GGCGGACGGGUGAGUAAUACUUAGGAAUCUGCCUAUUAAUGGGGGACAACAUCUCGAAAGGGAUGCUAAUACCGCAUACGCCCUACGGGGGAAAGCAGGGGAUCACUUGUGACCUUGCGUUAAUAGAUGAGCCUAAGUCGGAUUAGCUAGUUGGUGGGGUAAAGGCCUACCAAGGCGACGAUCUGUAGCGGGUCUGAGAGGAUGAUCCGCCACACUGGGACUGAGACACGGCCCAGACUCCUACGGGAGGCAGCAGUGGGGAAUAUUGGACAAUGGGGGGAACCCUGAUCCAGCCAUGCCGCGUGUGUGAAGAAGGCCUUAUGGUUGUAAAGCACUUUAAGCGAGGAGGAGGCUCUUCUAGUUAAUACCUAGGAUGAGUGGACGUUACUCGCAGAAUAAGCACCGGCUAACUCUGUGCCAGCAGCCGCGGUAAUACAGAGGGUGCGAGCGUUAAUCGGAUUUACUGGGCGUAAAGCGUGCGUAGGCGGCUUUUUAAGUCGGAUGUGAAAUCCCCGAGCUUAACUUGGGAAUUGCAUUCGAUACUGGGAAGCUAGAGUAUGGGAGAGGAUGGUAGAAUUCCAGGUGUAGCGGUGAAAUGCGUAGAGAUCUGGAGGAAUACCGAUGGCGAAGGCAGCCAUCUGGCCUAAUACUGACGCUGAGGUACGAAAGCAUGGGGAGCAAACAGGAUUAGAUACCCUGGUAGUCCAUGCCGUAAACGAUGUCUACUAGCCGUUGGGGCCUUUGAGGCUUUAGUGGCGCAGCUAACGCGAUAAGUAGACC